CACCAAAUUUUAGAAGCUAAUCACUCUCAUCAUAAUCGUCUACAUCCUCAUCGUUAUCGACGAUAAAAGAAUCAUCUUGCAUGCUGGGUUCAUCCAUGCUAUCAAACGAGGGAUCAACGUAAAUAGGUGUUUUCACUGUAGCCGCUGCUCUUCUGGUUGGCCUCUUUCUAAUCGGAGAAUCUGAAUCUUCUGGUGGCUCUGCGUUAGUCGAACUAGCUUUUGGAGUUGAACUACUACCUGGAAUAAUAAAAUCAUCAUCGUCAUCUUCAGGUGAUUGUUUCUUUACCGAGCUUGCUUUUUUCCCUUUAUUCUUCGCAGAAGCCUUCGUGGAUGUUAUGGUGGAAGGUUUCAAACUGCUAGGCAACAAAU